UGGUAAUAUUUGGUUACAGUAAGAUCUGUUGUUUCACAGGAAGUCCAGCAGAGGGGCCUGUAAUUUGAUUCAGUUAGUAACUUGGAAAACCAAGAGGGGAAGAAAGCCCAACAUUCUUAAGAGAAAAGAACAGGAAGCAGUGAUCACAUGACAUUAAUUAGCUUCUAGAGUUUUGAAAUCUGAUAAGGUGGGAGAUAGACAGCACCAACCUACAUUUGAUGAAUUAAAGUCACCAAGCUAAAGAGCUAUAUUCCAGGUACUGAAAGACAUUAUUUCUAAAAGUGUGCUCUAAAAGAUUAUGGUAAAUGAACGAAGUGUGGCAGAAACAAAUUAGAAAUAAUGUCCAAAUGUUGAAAAAAAAAUAGAAGAUUUUGAAGUUUGCAAUCAGCAGGCAAUAAACUCAU
rnacentral:lncRNA from 1 species